rnacentral:rRNA from 1 species
GACGAACGCUGGCGGCGUGCUUAACACAUGCAAGUCGAACGGAAAGGCCCUGCUUGCAGGGUACUCGAGUGGCGAACGGGUGAGUAACACGUGGGUGAUCUGCCCUGCACUUCGGGAUAAGCCUGGGAAACUGGGUCUAAUACCGGAUAGGAGCCAUUUUUAGUGUGAUGGUUGGAAAGUUUUUUCGGUGUAGGAUGAGCUCGCGGCCUAUCAGCUUGUUGGUGGGGUAAUGGCCUACCAAGGCGGCGACGGGUAGCCGGACUGAGAGGGUGGACGGCCACAUUGGGACUGAGGUACGGCCCAGACUCCUAAGGGAGGAAGAAGUGGGGAAUAUUGCACAAUGGACGCAAGCCUGAUGAAGCGACGCCGCGUGGGGGAUGACGGCCUUCGGGUUGUAAAAUCCUUUCGCUAGGGACGAAGCUUUUUGUGACGGUACCUAGAUAAGAAGCACCGGCUAACUACGUG